rnacentral:rRNA from 1 species
AACGAUCGCUGGCGGCAGGCCUAACACAUGCAAGUCGAGCGAGGACUUCGGUCCUAGCUGCGGACGGGUGAGUAACGCGUGGGAACGUGCCCUUUGCUACGGAAUAGCCCCGGGAAACUGGGAGUAAUACCGUAUGUGCCCUCCGGGGGAAAGAUUUAUAGGCCAAGGAUCGGCCCGCGUUGGAUUAGGUAGUUGGUGGGGUAAUGGCCUACCAAGCCGACGAUACAUAGCUGGUUUGAGAGGAUGAUCAGCCACACUGGGACUGAGACACGGCCCAGACUCCUACGGGAGGCAGCAGUGGGGAAUCUUAGACAAUGGGGGAAACCCUGAUCUAGCCAUGCCGCGUGAGCGAUGAAGGCCUUAGGGUUGUAAAGCUCUUUCAGUGGGGAAGAUAAUGACGGUACCCACAGAAGAAGCCCCGGCUAACUCCGUGCCAGCCGCCGCCGUAAGAC